rfam:Triticum aestivum genome assembly, contig: Triticum_aestivum_CS42_TGACv1_scaffold_374276_5AL
GUGCUACUUCGUCCGUCUGGAAAAGCUUGUCCCAAGCUUGUUUCUCAAAUAAAUGUAUCUAGCACUAACUUGGUGCUAGAUACAUUCAUUUGAAGGACAAGUCUUUUCGGACGGAAGGAGUACUAA